AUUGAACGCUGGCGGCAGGCCUAACACAUGCAAGUCGAGCGAGCGGCGGACGGGUGAGUAAUGUCUGGGAAACUGCCUGAUGGAGGGGGAUAACUACUGGAACCGGUAGCUAAUACCGCAUACCAUCAGAUGUGCCCAGAUGGGAUUAGCUGGUAGGUGGGGUAACGGCUCACCUAGGCGACGAUCCCUAGCUGGUCUGAGAGGCUGACCAGCCACACUGGAACUGAAGCACGUGCCAGACGCCUACGGGAGGGAGCAGUGGGGAAUAUUGCACAAUGGGAGCAAGCCUGAUGAAGCCAGGCCGCGUGUGUGAAGAAGGCCUGCGGGUUGUAAAGCACUUUCAGCGGGGAGGCGUUACCCGCAGAAGAAGCACCGGCUAACUCCGUGCCAGCAGCCGCGGUAAUUC
rnacentral:rRNA from 1 species